GGGGGUGUAGCUCAGUGGUAGAGCACUUGCCUUGCAUGUGUGAGGCAUUGAGUUAAAUCCUCAGCACCACAU
rnacentral:tRNA from 1 species